ACAGUCACACAUUAGAUACCCGGGUAGUCCAGGGUGUAAACGCUGCGGGCUUUGGUGUUUGGGGGGUCCUUUGAGGGCGCCCAGUGCCGGAGAGAAGUUGUUAAGCCCGCUGCUUGGGAGUACGUCCGCAAGGAUGAAACUUAAAGGAAUUGGCGGGGGAGCACCGCAACGGGAGGAGCGUGCGGUUCAAUUGGAUUCAACGCCGGACAACUCACCAGGAGCGACGGUUACAUGAAGGCCAGGCUGAUGACCUUGCCUGACUUUCCG
rnacentral:rRNA from 1 species